GGGGUAAAAUUAAUAAAAAAUAAAUAAUAAAAAAAAUUUUAAAAUUAAGAAUAUUUAGGGGGUUAAAGUAUUUUUAAUAGAAAAAAUUUAAAAAUUUAUAGUAAAUUAGUAUUGUGAGAUAAAUUUGAAAUAAUAUUGAAAAUAAAUUAAUUAAAAAGUAAAUUUAAUUUAUUGUAUCUUGUGUAUCAGAGUUUAUUAAAAAUAUUUUAUUAAUUUAAAUUUCUCGAAUUUAAAAGAGUUAAUUAAUUAUAAAAUUUAUUGUUUCAUAAAUAUUUUAAAUAAUUAAAUAGAAAUGAAAUGUUAUUCGUUUUUAAAUAUAUCUAGUUAUUUUAGAAAAAAAUUUAAUUUUUUGUUUAAUAAAAAAAUUAAUUAAUUAAUUAAUUAAUUUUUUUUAUUAAACAAAAUAUAUUAGGGGAUAAGCUUUAAUUUAAAUUUUUAUAAUAAAAAUUAAUAAUUUGAAAAUUUUAUGAUUUAAAUUGUUAAUAAAUUUUAAUUUAUUAUAAAUAAUUUCAAUAAUUAAAAAAUUUAAUUUUAUAUUUAAAUUUUUAUAAAAUAAUCAUUUAAAAUAAAAUAAAAUUAGGUAUAAUGAUAAAAUUAGUAUAUAAUUUAAAAAUUUAUAAUAAUUUUAAAAUAAUUAUUAUAAAGGAAUUCGACAAAUGUUUAUAUUCACCUGUUUAUCAAAAACAUGUCUUUUUGAAAAUAAUUUAAAGUCUAAUCUGCCCACUGAUUUAAUUAUUAAAGGGCUGCAGUAUUUUGACUGUACAAAGGUAGCAUAAUCAUUAGUCUCUUAAUUGGUGACUUGUAUGAAAGAUUGGAUGAAAUAUAGAUUGUCUCUAUAAUAAAAAAUUGAAUUUAAUUUUUUAAUUAAAAAGUUAAAAUAAAUUAAAAAGACGAGAAGACCCUAUAGAGUUUUAUAUUUAAUUAUUUUUAAAAUUUAAAUUAAUUGUUUAUUUUAAAUUUAGUGAAAUAUUUUGUUGGGGUGAUAAAAAAAUAAAAUAAACUUUUUUUAAAAAAAAACAUUAAUAAGUGAUUAAUUGAUCCAAUUUUAUUGAUUAAAAGAAAAAAUUACCUUAGGGAUAACAGCGUAAUUUUUUUUUUUAGUUCAAAUAAGAAAAAAAGUUUGCGACCUCGAUGUUGGAUUAAGAUAAAAUUUAAAUGCAAAAGUUUAAAAUUUUGAUCUGUUCGAUCAUUAAAAUCUUACAUGAUCUGAGUUCAAACCGGUGUAAGCCAGGUUGGUUUCUAUCUUUUAAUAAUUUUAAUAUUUUAGUACGAAAGGAUCAAAUAUUAUAAUUAAAUUAAUUUUUAUUGAAUUUUAUUAAUAAUUAAAAAUAAAUUUAAAUAUAUAAAAUAGUUA
rnacentral:rRNA from 1 species